GCAGCUUAGAAGGGAGAAGCUUUCCCGUAGCCGCCGUUGUGAGAGCCUUGGGAUUUAUUCCUAGGUUUGAGAUCUCCCCAAAGAGACAAUUAGCUGAGACAAUUAUCUAAUCUCAGAGAUAAGGAAGUUAGUAUCUGGUCUGGGAUAAUAAUUCACUCAGUGAAGUGCUUGACUUGCAGCCAUGUGGACUGAGAGUCAGUGACAGAAUCCACCAGCCGUCAUCUCCUGAAGAUGCUAGGACUGUUCCUGUUAUGUUCCAACUCACCCUCCAGACCUGAGAAUUAUGAUUAUCAAACUGAGCCACAAUAUGGAUUUCAAAUUUUGUUGGACCACCAGAGGAACGUGAACAGAAGUGGUCACACAAAAUCACCUUCAGAGAUGCCAGAGGGGUGACUACAGCAAAAGCAACAGAGAUGAGCAGUCCCACGACCAAGCUGUGAAAGCCACAGGCAGUUUGGUAGCCUGACAGCUGAAGUAGCCCCUUCACUGGCUGGCUGUGCAAGUAAGCAAGCAUCGAGAUGCAGAAUUACGAUCUCUCCCAAUGGUGUUUACCUUAGUAAACACCAUUCCAAAAGGCU